rnacentral:RNase_P_RNA from 1 species
GGAGUAGGUCAGACAGUCGCGUGAUUUAGUUCACGAGGAAAGUCCGGGCUCCAUAGGGUAAGGGUGCCAGAUAACGUCUGGUGAAGGUGACUUUAAGGAAAGUGCAACAGAAACAUACCGCCGAAGGGUUAAGACCCUGGUAAGGUUGAAAUGGUGAGGUAAGAGCUCACCGGCAAUAUGGUAACAUAUUGGCCGUGUAAACCCCACUCGGAGCAAGACCAAAUAGGGCG